GAGAGAUUAGUUUAUACAAAACAGGUGUUUUGAAAGCACCCAUAAAGACAAUAAAAAUCUUAUCUCCCU
rnacentral:tRNA from 1 species